rnacentral:rRNA from 1 species
CCCGGGGCUUCGGCCUGGUUAUUCAUAACCCUUUGUUGUCCGACUCUGUUGCCUCCGGGGCGACCCUGCCUUCGGGCGGGGGCUCCGGGUGGACACUUCAAACUCUUGCGUAACUUUGCAGUCUGAGUAAACUUAAUUAAUAAAUUAAAACUUUUAACAACGGAUCUCUUGGUUCUGGCAUCGAUGAAGAACGCAGCGAAAUGCGAUAAGUAAUGUGAAUUGCAGAAUUCAGUGAAUCAUCGAAUCUUUGAACGCACAUUGCGCCCCCUGGUAUUCCGGGGGGCAUGCCUGUUCGAGCGUCAUUUCACCACUCAAGCCUCGCUUGGUAUUGGGCAACGCGGUCCGCCGCGUGCCUCAAAUCGUCCGGCUGGGUCUUCUGUCCCCUAAGCGUUGUGGAAACUAUUCGCUAAAGGGUGUUCGGGAGGCUACGCCGUAAAACAACCCCAUUUCUAAGGUUGACCUCGGAUCAGGUAGGGAUACCCGCUGAACUUAAGCAUAU